CCGACGCGACAGCCUACCGCGAACAUUUUCUGCGACAACGCAGUGGUAGAGAUGACAUUUAUUGUUCAUUCGCACUUUGCCAAUAUCUCCCGUCGCAUAGAAGAGACAACAGGCAACUGUAUAUUUCGAUAUACAAAUCGAAUCUACAGAUAAAGCGUGAUUGUGAGACAAAAAUAAACACAUCUAUUUCUAUUGUUUCUUUGGUGAAGGAACCAGUUGGACAGUGCGACGUGGCAGUUUGAUACCAACGCUGCGUGCAUCCAUACGGCUGACGAAGGCAUCCAUUGCUCCGACGAUUCGCUGGUCUCGCGGUAAAUUCCCUUCAGACGGUUCCUAAACGUGAACAGCUGAGCAAUCUGACUCGUCUCUCGCUGUCUCUAAGACUAAAGAGCAACAACUGCAAUUUCGGUACCAUGGCAACGGCAACUGAUGACAAGGCCACGCCCCAACAACUACAGGUGAGCACGGUAUCUACUUUAGAGCCUACUCCGGGAAACGACCCCGAACAUUGGGCAGCACAGACGGGGACCUAUCCAACGGUUAACGAAGUCAAGAGGAAAAGACCAAAGAAUGGAUCAUCACACUCUGAUUGAGGAAGACAUGAGGCUCUCUGCAGAAGAUGGAAGCACCUACAUGCCGUGAAGUAGACAACAUCUUUGAGCGUUCCCAUGGUGACGCCAGGCUAUAGGAAUGCACAUCCUUGCAGAGACAACUCCUGCAGCUGAACUUUUGUAUAACAAUAUGUGCGUAUGUUCAAUUUCUUCUGUGUCUAUGUCUAAGAGGCAUGUAAAAUAAGCUGAAAUAAUAUGAGCCGUUUCUUAUUUUGACCAUGUACUGUAGUAUGAAGGAAUAGACGAUUUUUUGUGUCAUCUGUCAAUGAAAAAGCUUUUGUUAGAGAACAUUCCUUGAUUUGUAUAUGACUUGUCUAUAAUGAAAACUGAAAUAGACUGGCUUGGAGGGGGGAGGGGGAGGGGGGGGGGGUCAGCU